rnacentral:rRNA from 1 species
UACAGAGGUCUCAAGCGUUGUUCGGAUUCAUUGGGCGUAAAGGGUGCGUAGGCGGCGCGGUAAGUCGGGUGUGAAAUCUCGGAGCUUAACUCCGAAACUGCAUUCGAUACUGCCGUGCUUGAGGACUGGAGAGGAGACUGGAAUUCCUGGUGUAGCGGUGAAAUGCGCAGAUAUCAGGAGGAACACCGGUGGCGAAGGCGGGUCUCUGGGCAGUAACUGACGCUGGAGGAGCGAAAGCGUGGGGAGCGAACAGG